UCUUUUUUUUCUUAAGUAAAACAUUUGAGUUCAAGCUAACCAAAAGUAAGACUUCCUCUUUGGUUCAAUCGUGUUAGCCAUUGCAUCUAACGUUAACAUGGAGUUACGGAACAUAGCUAGGCCCGACUGUCAAUACUAUUAAGUCUUUUCUUUCAUAAUUUAGCGUUAAAUGCUGAAUUUUACAGGGUGUCUGACUCCAUCCAAUGAAGGCGUUUAUAGCUGAAAUAUAAAGUUAUCCUUUGAGUCAGUGCUGCUAGAAUGUUCGAGCUCACCAACGUUACCUACCGUUGCUAGUUAACGGUAGCUAACAUUCAGUUAAACGGAUGUUAACCAGUUUAAACCGUUAAAAACAACCGGAUUAGAGCUACAAGCGGGCCAAGCCAGUAGUCAAGUGUUUGGAUGAUGGUGCAGAAGCAUCCAGACUGUGGAUGACGAUUAAACAAGCCCAUCACAUGUUGUAAGCAACAUAGAUGGGAUCCAGCUGGUCAGCGAGGAAAGAGUCACGGAGGUGCAUGCGUUGCUUCUCUCCCCUGGAGUUGAUGGGUAUAACCCCGGGGUCCACAAUAACCACCACGCCCACGAUAAGGUGGUGCUCCUCCAGGACCACGUUGGUUAUCAGAGGCACCAGGUCCAGUGCAUCCUGUUCGGAACCACACAGCUCCGACACCACCACCAGCAGAUGAGAAUCACCAAGUGGGCCUCUUGUCUCUGGAUUUACGAUGAUCACCCGCACACCUGGCAGUAUCUGAAAAUAAAAGGAAAUGUAAAGGCCCUGAGGAGUACAUUGUCAACAUGUCUUUAACUAAACACUUCACAAACUGAAUAGAGACCACUGGAAUGCAUAUGGAACAUCUCACCUUCCCAGACUCCAUUAGAGGAAGACUUUGAGGUGCUCCUCUCUCCACCAGCCUCACUCUAAAAGGACCAACAACACAUACGCCCGUAAGAAGACAUAUGCAGUUAUUCAUAAUCAAAACUCUUGAAUGUCCUUACAAAGAUUUUCUAUACCCACUUAUGCAGUUCAGAGUUGCUGGGUUUAUCAGGUUUACGUGUGAGGUUUUCUUUUUUGA